UACGUAGGGGGCUAGCGUUGUCCGGAAUCAUUGGGCGUAAAGCGCGUGUAGGCGGUCCGGUAAGUCCGCUGUGAAAGUCGGGGGCUCAACCCUCGGAUGCCGGUGGAUACUGUCGGGCUUGAGUACGGAAGAGGCGAGUGGAAUUCCUGGUGUAGCGGUGAAAUGCGCAGAUAUCAGGAGGAACACCUAUGGCGAAGGCAGCUCUCUGGUACGUGACUGACGCUGAGACGCGAAAGCGUGGGGAGCGAACAGG
rnacentral:rRNA from 1 species